UACGGAGGGAGCUAGCGUUGUUCGGAAUUACUGGGCGUAAAGCGCACGUAGGCGGCUUUGUAAGUUAGAGGUGAAAGCCUGGGGCUCAACUCCAGAACUGCCUUUGAUACUGGCAACCUAGAGACUGGAAGAGGUUAGUGGAAUUCCCAGUGUAGAGGUGAAAUUCGUAGAUAUUGGGAAGAACACCAGUGGCGAAGGCGGCUAACUGGUCCAGCACUGACGCUGAGGUGCGAAAGCGUGGGGAGCAAACAGG
rnacentral:rRNA from 1 species